UACAGAGGUCUCGAGCGUUAGGCGGAAUCACUGGGCUUAAAGCGUGUGUAGGUGGAUCGUUAAGUACCUUGUGAAAUCCCACGGCUUAACCGUGGAACUGCUUGGUAUACUGGCGGUCUUGAGCCAGCUAGGGGCUACCGGAACAAAUGGUGGAGCGGUGAAAUGCGCAGAUAUCAGGAGGAACACCAAUGGCGAAGGCAGCUCGCUGGAACGGUACUGACGCUGAGGCGCGAAAGCGUGGGGAGCAAACAGG
rnacentral:rRNA from 1 species